GACGUAGGGGGCCAGCGUUGCUCGGAAUUACUGGGCGUAAAGGGUUCGUAGGCGGUGUGGCAAGUCGGGAGUGAAAUCUAUGGGCUUAACCCAUAGGCUGCUUCCGAAACUGCCGUGCUUGAGUGUGGGAGAGGCGCGUGGAAUUGCAGGUGUAGCGGUGAAAUGCGUAGAUAUCUGCAGGAACACCCGUGGCGAAAGCGGCGCGCUGGACCACUACUGACGCUGAGGAACGAAAGCUAGGGGAGCAAACAGG
rnacentral:rRNA from 1 species